GACGAACGCUGGCGGCGUGCUUAACACAUGCAAGUCGAACGGUGAUCCCAGGAGCUUGCUUCUGGGUGAGCAGUGGCGAACGGGUGAGUAACACGUGAGUAACCUGCCCCUGACUCUGGAAUAAGCGCUGGAAACGGCGUCUAAUACCGGAUACGAGACGCAACCGCAUGGUUAGUGACUGGAAAGUUUUUCGGUCUGGGAUGGACUCGCGGCCUAUCAGCUUGUUGGUGAGGUAAUGGCUCACCAAGGCGAUGACGGGUAGCCGGCCUGAGAGGGCGAUCGGCCACACUGGGACUGAGACACGGCCCAGACUCCUACGGGAGGCAGCAGUGGGGAAUAUUGCACAAUGGGCGAAAGCCUGAUGCAGCGACGCCGCGUGAGGGAUGACGGCCUUCGGGUUGUAAACCUCUUUCAGCAGGGAAGAAGCGCAAGUGACGGUACCUGCAGAAGAAGCACCGGCUAACUACGUGCCAGCAGCCGCAGUAA
rnacentral:rRNA from 1 species